rnacentral:rRNA from 1 species
CCCUGGCUCAGGACGAACGCUGGCGGCGUGCCUAAUACAUGCAAGUCGAGCGGAGUCACUUUGAAAGCUUGCUUUCUAAGUAACUUAGCGGCGGACGGGUGAGUAACACGUAGGCAACCUGCCCUUCAGACUGGGAUAACUACCGGAAACGGUAGCUAAUACCGGAUAAUUUCUUUUUUCUCCUGAGAGAAGAAUGAAAGACGGAGCAAUCUGUCACUGAGGGAUGGGCCUGCGGCGCAUUAGCUAGUUGGUGGGGUAACGGCCCACCAAGGCGACGAUGGGUAGCCGACCUGAGAGGGUGAACGGCCACACUGGGACUGAGACACGGCCCAGACUCCUACGGGAGGCAGCAGUAGGGAAUCUUCCGCAAUGGGCGAAAGCCUGACGGAGCAACGCCGCGUGAGUGAUGAAGGUUUUCGGAUCGUAAAGCUCUGUUGCCAGGGAAGAACGUCCGGUAGAGUAACUGCUACCGGAGUGACGGUACCUGAGAAGAAAGCCCCGGCUAA